AGAGGAGGAGAAUCCGGCGAAUCCGGGAGAGGUUAUUUGUCGUAUAAGAAAAUCGUGGAAAAAAAUGUGAUUCUCUGCUUGACAAACCGCUCAUUAUUGAGUCGCUCGCCGAGUGUCAUUGCUGGACCAGAUGCGUGACGUGAUUUGUUGAGUAUUAAAGCGACACGAUGCCUGGGAAGAUAAAGGUGAAGAUACUGGCAGGUCGUAAUCUGCCAGUAAUGGAUCGUUCUGGCGACACGACGGAUGCUUAUGUGGAAUUGAAAUUCGGCAACAUAACUUACAAGACAGAUGUGUGCCGAAAGUCUCUGAAUCCACAAUGGAACUCGGAAUGGUAUAGAUUUGAAGUUGACGAUGCUGAACUACAAGAUGAGCCACUGCAAAUCAGAUUGAUGGAUCAUGACACAUAUUCUGCUAAUGAUGCGAUAGGCAAAGUUUAUAUAAAUCUUAAUCCAUUGUUGCUGCCUGGUAUACUGCCUCCAGUAAAGAACAUUUGGACUCUGGAGGCAACUAUGAACACCAGUGCUGGAUCUCAAGGAUCAGUUAUGACUGGCUGGAUACCUGUAUAUGACACAAUGCACGGCAUACGUGGCGAAGUAAAUAUUAUCAUAAAGGUGGAACUAUUUUCUGAUUUUAAUAAGUUUAGGCAAUCAUCCUGCGGAGUACAAUUCUUUUAUUCACCUAAUAUACCAUAUGGAUAUCAUGCACAAAUGAUACAUGGAUUUGUUGAAGAACUUGUAGUUAGUGAUGACCCAGAAUAUAAAUGGAUCGAUAAAAUAAGAACACCCAGAGCAUCGAACGAGGCACGACAGACUCUGUUUUUUAAACUAAGUGGAGAAGUCCAAAGGAAAAUUGGAUUAAAAGCAUUGGAUCUUGGUGGAAAUGCUGUAAUUGGGUACUUGCAAAACUUUGAUCUAGAAGGCGAAUCCGGCAUUGUUGCCAGAGGUAUAGGCACAGCGGUAACGCUAGUAAAACUGCAUGACGUUUUCGGUUUUCCUUGCGACAGCAUCAAUAUCGAAGAGAUCGCAUUCGCGCUUUCCUCACGCACAAUAGUGCGAACGGAACGUUACGCCGACGACAGCGCGCCGUUCCCUAUCUCUACUCCCGCUGGCGUUCCCGCUUCUUAUCCUAUUAGCAAAAACAGGAAUCUUUACGCGAGAUCCUUGUCGUCUUUAACGCGCCUGGAAUGCGCAAAGGUGCCCGUGACUCCUGGACAUGUCAGAGCGCGAAGGAAACGUGCCAAGCGCAUUCCGUUUCUACGAUCCAAUACAUCGAGUAUGUUGAAUCUAAGAGUGACCGCUUCCAGCAGCUCGGACGUCACUCCGUCGUCGGAAAUUGAUCGGAGUUUAAUCGACGAAACGGUGAAAUCUAUACGUACCAUAGUAAUGCCAGAGGAGACAAGGAAGAAAUCGUCGAGAGAUCACCUCUCCAAGCAGAUCAAGCAUCUACGUAGUAAAUUUGACUCGGUCGGCGAGGAGAGUCAUUUCACCACGGAAUCUGACCGCGAUUCCGACAUUAUGAAUCCUCAGGAGAGAAACCUGAAGGAAACCAAGACCACCGGUAGGAUAAUGGCCGCGUUACUUAUCGAAUCUAUACAGAACAUGUCUCUUGAGAAUAUCGAAAAUAUUGAUCCCGCUUUGAUUCUUCCCAGCGAUAAACAGUCUAACGAAGAGAUAAAGGAAGAAACAGUGCUGUGCUGUACAGAGAAUCCUGAAAAUAAGAAUAGCAAGGUCCAAGUAGGUGAAGAGCAGCAGCAAGACGUCGCUUCCUCGAUUGACGAGACGGAGAUGUCUUCCUUCGAUGACGAAAAUUUGACGGGCGAUGAAUCAUCGGGGGACACUGCCAGUUAUAACAUCUUGGACGACUCGAGAUACUCGAUCGAUAGAGACUCCAACAAAACGGAGGACUCGGCGAGUCUCCAGGAGAGAAUUCCCAUUACGCACUCCAGUGCGGAGAGCUGCACGGAGUCUACACUGCAGAUAGAAUCGGACGUAGCGUCGAAUCGUUCGCCAUCAAUCCCGAAUUUAAUAGAUAUGGAAGACACCAUACUACAGAACGAUAGGAUUCCCAUAAUCACUGUGGACAUUCACGAGAGCACAGAUUCGGACACGUCCGGAUUGUCGAACGAUGAAAGUCAGCCGGAUAUCUCGGAUUCGUAUAACUUCGAGGAGACUAAUAUUUCCGCUGUGGAAUUAACUCAUUUGUCCGACAAAGGAAACAUCAGCGAUGUAAGACCAGCAUCUGACACUUCUGGAAACGAGUGUCAGGUGCUUGGUUUGAGGAUAGAGGAAAGUGAGCGGUGCAGCAGUGCCACCUUUACAUCCGAUGGUUCGUCGGUUCCCGAAGCACCUGAUAUUCGUCUGGAUAAACCCGAACAAGAUCUACAUCCGAGCCACGAUCAAUCUAUUCAUCAACAAAAUGAGAAAUCAACGGGACUCGAAUCUUCAUUCAUCGCUGAAGGAUCGAAAGAUCGCGUGAACGCAGGCAAAAAGGGGAAUGAUUCGGUGACGAAACGGGCAUUGAUCGAAGAAGCCCGUGCGAUUAUGAUGGUCGAGAGACGAAAAUGUAUACGCGAUUUGAUCAAACUAAUCGACACGAAGAUGAUGGUAUCCGCACGGCCGACGCGUCGUAGCAAAAAAACCGUGUCGCUGAGGAGCAAGAAGAAGAAGAAGAUCGAGAGAACGGGAUCUCACAAGGAAGCGAAAAAGUCGGGGAAUCCGCUUGACCGAUUUCCUUCUCGUAGCGCGUCCACGAGGAAACGUGCGUCGCGUAAACGUCGCAAGAAGAGCGAUCACCUUCGCGUUCCUCGCGUCCGCUCGAUUCCCGAGUAUCUAUCCUCGGCGCAGCGCCCGAUUAUUCACGCCACCUCCCGUUCCUGCGACUCUUCUCCCAUCAGUUUAACCGAUCGCGUAUCCCCAGCUCCCGCGUUCCAUCGUCCGCUCGAUGGUUCGCCCGGGACCUCGGGAAAACCGCCGAGGAGCAACCCCGGCAACAAAUCCGACAUCGUAACCGCGAUAUCUAUCAGUAGCGACUGUAAUCUAGGGAACACAUCGUGUCAUAUUGAUCGUACUAUGCCCACUAACAAUGCUAAUAUGACUUACAACUCGCGUGUGUCCCGUCCUUCUCCCGAUCUUAGGCAGCAAGAUGAAGCGUCGACCAGCCCGUCCUACCCGCUUCCGGCUGUUCCUACGGUGGCCGCGAAAAUGUCCCAAUCACCGGCGACCCGAACGCUCGCGAACGUGCCGCUUCAUCGAAGAUCGAGCGAUUCCGAUCUGAGCGUUACUCCCAAAGGUAACUCUCUAGGCAGUGAUAGAUCGAUAGCAGGACCCCUAAGGACACCAGCUGCGGUAGUCAGACCCAUGAAUCAAGACACGCUAGAAAUGUUAGAAUAUCCCUUCAUUACUAUGCAACAUUACCCACCUGGCUUCAUAUUACAUAUAGGUGGUCUAGUGAGCUCGAGGUCGGUGAAAUUACUCGAGAGGAUAAGCAAUCUGGAGGAACCGGAAGGCCGUGAUGCGUGGUGGACCGAAAUCAGAAUGGAAGUUAGGUCACACGCGAGAGCGUUAGCUUGCAAUGUUGUUAUAGGCUACAAAGAAGAAACUAGUAUAUGUGACGAUGUGUGUGUGUUGAGUGCCUCCGGUACCGCGGCAGUCAUAAAUUUUCAUAAUUCUGGUCAAGAAUCAGACGGCGUCGUUCUUAAUAAACUUCAACAGAGUGCGCCCGCAGCUGCUGUGGAUUCGGAAAAGGGCCAGCAAAAGUCCGUCGCGACAAAGGCAGAGAAAGUUGACAGUGAUACACCUGUCGUGGCUCAUACGGAGCGACAAAACGGAAAGGUGUGCAAGCACUCUUCCGAAGGCAAUGAUCACGAAGGUUUCUGCGGCCAGUCUCAGCUGCGAUGCAACCUGUGUCAUCUCCCUUACAGUGAAAGCAGCGUGCCAUUUAGAGUCAAUGUGUCAAAAUGUACUAUAUGCAAGCGCGCCAAGGUUCCGGAUGUUAUGUUCACCACUAUAGAAGUCCCGACGAAUAUACCGACAACCGGAAGAGGCUGCUUUAUCCAAGCGACUGUAUGCAAAAGCAAGAAAGACUUGCGUGGUGAACUGAAUGCAAAGGAGAUAUCUGAUUGUUUGCCGUUUCUGGAAUAUGAACUACACAGUUUAUUGUUGAACAAGUUGAAGAUCAAGGGUAUGAACGCGGUGUUCGGCCUCAGGUUGCAGGUAUCCGUGGGAGAACGGUUCAUAAUCGGUAUGGCGGUAGGCACCGCGGUUUACUUGACCGCUCUACCGCCGCCUACCAUUCCGCAAAUAGCAUCUAGCAAUUCGUGGCAUAACGAGGAGCAGUUAGGGGAAAUGCAAAAGUCUAUUGUAGAAACAGUGAAGAAGAACCGAGAGUUUUAUCGUCUAAAGCCUAUCGGAGUCAACGAAGUCGAAAACGGACGCUUUCCAAGUACUUCUGAUACAGACGAGUCAGAUGAGGAUCUACCGGAACUCGAUCUUGGAUUGGGUACUCGCGAUGCGUGCAUCUUAGAAGUGGACGACAUCGAGGAUAUGGACCGAAUAUCAUCAUUAAUAGACAACAGACCACCCGAUGAUUUUCACGUCGUUAAUACACAGACGAUACCUGGUCUCGAAGAUUUAGAGAUCGUCAGAAAUUUACAGAUGUUCACGCAAAUCUCUAGGGCUAAAAUUCCCAUAGGACAAUUCGCGUCGAUGCCAUCAAAAUAUUUUGCCAGGUUACUUCAGUCUCUAUAUUUCAAAUUAAGAAGAAUGGUUCCCUGCGCCUUGUGUGACAUGCAGUUUAAAGUAGCAUUAUCUGAACAAGAUGAAAUACAACUGACUGUCGUUGGUAUGGCGCUUGGUUUGGGAGAACCCUUAAAUACGAAUAAAUAUAAAAGGAAGAUUGUAUGUCGUUCCUUGAGUAAGGAUCAAGUAAGAAAGUCAGGUGCCUUUAAAAGGAAGAUAUGGUGUAGAUAUAACACCUUUAUCUUACCUACCAGGUGGAAGAAUAGAGAGGUAUCAAGGCAACUUAAAUUUCUUUUUUAUUCGCGAAAGUACGUCGAUACGAGAGAAUGGUGGAUUGAGCGGUUUCACCCACAGUUUCGUAAUGGAAGUUUUGGCAAUUGUUCGUGCUCAUAUUACGGCAUUAGGCGGUAACGCUAUGGUAGCAUUCUUUAUGACACAGUGCGUGCUUCUCCAUAGUCCGCACAAAAAUCAGGGUCAGUGUUUGAUUAAUGUAGGUGGCGAUGUUGUAACAGUAUCUUAUUAUGCGGAUGAGAAGCACAGCGCGGUUUCAAAUUGCUGACCCCAGCCUCCUCAUUCUGCGCCACCAUGAACGACUAUUUAACGCAAUGGUAAUUAGUGAUUUGACUAAAUGUUUGCCAAUAUUAAUACUAUUAUAGGUCAUUGCGGUUCUCGGAAAUUUAAUGCAUUAUAUAAUGACCAAUCUCAAAAUGUUUCGUUGCAGUAAUUGAUAUUGCUGCUUAUCAAUUUAUUUUAUAAAAAUCAGGAUUCAAUAUUAAUUUCUUUAUGAAUUAAUAGAAUAGAAUAAUACAAUACAGAAUAUGACAAAGUAUAUUAUACAUUAGUCUACUAUAAAUUUAAAAUAUCUUGUAUAUUUAAUACU
rnacentral:misc_RNA from 1 species